CACCUGGUUGAUCCUGCCAGUAGUCAUAUGCUUGUCUCAAAGAUUAAGCCAUGCAUGUCUAAGUAUAAGCUUUAAACGGCGAAACUGCGAAUGGCUCAUUAAAACAGUUAUAGUUUAUUUGGUGAUCGAUUACUAUUUGGAUAACCGUAGUAAUUCUAGAGCUAAUACAUGCGUCAAGGCCCGACUUCGGAAGGGCUGCGUUUAUUAGAUACAGAACCAACCUAGGCUCCGCCUAGUCCUUGUUGGUGAUUCAUAAUAACCCGGCGAAUCGCACGGCUUGUCCGGCGAUGGACCAUUCAAGUUUCUGACCUAUCAGCUAUGGACGGUAGGGUAUUGGCCUACCGUGGCGUUGACGGGUAACGGGGAAUUAGGGUUCGAUUCCGGAGAGGGAGCCUGAGAAACGGCUACCACAUCUAAGGAAGGCAGCAGGCGCGCAAAUUACCCAAUCCUGAUACAGGGAGGUAGUGACAAGAAAUAACAAUACAGGGCAAUUCUGUCUUGUAAUUGGAAUGAGUAGAUUUUAAAUCUCUUUACGAGUAUCAAUUGGAGGGCAAGUCUGGUGCCAGCAGCCGCGGUAAUUCCAGCUCCAAUAGCGUAUAUUAAAGUUGUUGCGGUUAAAAAGCUCGUAGUUGGAUUUCUGCCUUGGGCGACCGAUCCACCUUUCCUACGGGAUUGGUUGGUAUCAGGGUUUGACCUUGGCUUUUUCUUGGGAUUCGU
rnacentral:ncRNA from 1 species